AUGAACGCUAGCGGCAGGCUUAAUACAUGCAAGUUGAGGGGCAGCAUGAUAUACGCGAGUAUAUUGAUGGCGACCGGCGGACGGGUGAGUAAUAGGUAGGAGACCUACCUCAUACAGGGGGAUAGCAUAGAGAAAUCUGUGGUAAUACCCCAUGAGGUUAUAUGAAUAGAGGCAUAUAAUCAAAGCAUAAGUGAUUAUGCGGUAUGAGAGGGGCCUACUGACCAUUAGCUAGUUGGUGAGGUAAGGGCUCACCAAGGCGAAGAUGGUUAGGGGUUUUGAGAGAGAGACCCCCCACAUUGGAACUGAGAGACGGUCCAGACUCCUACGGGAGGCAGCAGUAGGGAAUAUUGGGCAAUGGGCGAAAGCCUGACCCAGCCAUGCCGCGUGAAGGAAGGCGGCCCUAAGGGUUGUAAACUUCUUUUGUAAGGGAAUAAAGUGCGUUACGUGUAGUGCAUUGCAAGUACCUUACGAAUAAGGAUCGGCUAACUCCGUG
rnacentral:rRNA from 1 species